rnacentral:rRNA from 1 species
CCCUUAGAUGUUCUGGGCUGCACGCGCGCUACACUGAUGCACUCAACGAGUUUACGACCUUGCCCGAUAGGGUUGGGUAAUCUUUUUAAAAUGCAUCGUGAUGGGGAUAGAUUAUUGCAAUUAUUAAUCUUCAACGAGGAAUUCCUAGUAAGCGCGAGUCAUCAACUCGCGUUGAUUACGUCCCUGCCCUUUGUACACACCGCCCGUCGCUACUACCGAUUGAAUGGCUUAGUGAGGCCUCAGGAUCCGCGCUUAAUGUGUGGAGAAUUUGGACAAACUACGUCAUUUAGAGGAAGUAAAAGUCGUAACA